AGGAGCCGUGCGAGAUGAAAGUCUCAUGCACGGUUUUGAAUGAGACAAAGAAGUGAGGAAUCCUCUUUUCGACUCUGAC
rfam:Gossypium arboreum cultivar AKA8401 contig_71003_3, whole genome shotgun sequence.